CCAAUUGGAGCUGUUGCUGCCGGCCUUCGCCAGAGCCACAGCAACUUGAGAUCCAAGCCACAUCUGCGACCUACACCACAGCUCACGACAACGCUGGAUCCCCAACCCACUGAGUGAGGCCAGGGAUUGAAGCCGAAACCUCAUGGUUCCUAGUCGGAUUCACUGCUGCUGCACCACGCCAGGAACGUCUCUAACUCAUUUUUAACUAUGAAACUAUUUAUUUUACUUAGGGUGAAACUGUAACUUAAGUUCAAGUCUUAUAACCUCUUGGAAAACAAGAACAUCACCAUCUCUUACAAACCCUAAUAGAGACAUUUUAUUCUUUUAUUCAUGGGAGUUUUCAAUGGUCCUAAAAAGUAGCAGAAGGGAGUUUCUAUUUAUAGAGGGCCUGUUACAUGUCAGGCACUGACUAGUUGCUUUCUUUUAAGCCUUCCUACUAUACUGAAAUGGGUACAGAGACAUGUUUUUUUCCUUAAAAACUGACUUAUUGAAGAGGUCUGCUUAAAAAUAGCACUUAGGAGUUCCCAUCAUGGCUCAGCAGUUAACGAACCCGACUAGCAUCCAUGAGGUUGCGGGUUCGAUCCCUGACCUCACUCAUGGGUUAAGGAUCUGGCAUUGCCGUGAGCUGUGGUGUAGGUUGCAGAUGCGGCCUGAAUCCCGCAUUGCUGUGGCUGUGGUGUAGGCCGGCGGCUACAGCUCUGAUUAGACCCCCAGCCUGGGUACCUCCCUCCACGUGCUUUGGGGAGCGGCCCUAGAAAAGGCAAAAAGACAAAAAAUUUUUAAAAAUUAAAAAUAAUAAAGAGAGUCAGCCUUUAUCCCUGAGAUCUGUCUUCUGCCUACAACCUGACCCCAGGGGGCAUAAGCAAAAAUUCAGAAAGCUGCUUGUCAAAAAAUUAUCUAAGUCUUAGGGCAUAAGCAACACCAUUGGGGGUGGAAGGGGUCCCUCUAAAAUUACAGCAUAACACAAAAAGGGGAUAGAGGUCUCUUCCACUUUAGAACAUAACUUCUCAUUCUGGACAUCCCGGGACUAGAGCAGGGUUUCUCCAUCUCAGCCCUGCUGAUAUUUGGGGACAGAUACUUCUUUGUUGUGAGGCCUGUCCUGAACAUUGCGGGACAUGUGUAGCAUGCCUGGCCUUUACCCACUAGAUGCCAACAGCACCUGCCCCCAAGUUGGGACAACCCAAAAUGUCUCCAGAUCUCUCCAAAUGUCCCCUAGGGGACAAAACUGCCUAGCUGAUCACCACUGCUUCUGGUUAUUAGUGGUUGUGGCAAUAACUAAGAGGGGACUUCAGUGCCCCCUGGCAGUGGCAGUGAUGCACAGCUGCAAAAAUAAAGGUGCCUGGAAGAUAUGUCCGUGCUGGGGACAGGGACGACUGUGUGUGUGUGGGGGGGGGAGGGUUUGCUGGGUGGGGACAGCAGGUGAGGAGGGCAGCUUCCAAAGCAGAAAGUAUAUAUAUAUAUUUUUUAAGAAAGGCACAAACAGGACUCCAUGCCAGCAGAACAGCAUCUGGCCAGUCCCACCCUGAAAUACUCUGGGAGACUGCAAAGGGCUAGGGGACCAAAAGAACAAGAAAGCAGUGGGGAGAAACUGUGAAAUAUACUCUUUGUCUUUCC
rnacentral:lncRNA from 1 species